rnacentral:rRNA from 1 species
GACGUAGGGCGCAAGCGUUGUCCGGAUUUAUUGGGCGUAAGAGCUCGUAGGCGGCUGGUCGCGUCGGCCGUGAAACCUGCAGCUUAACUGUGGGCGUGCGGUCGAUACGGGCAUCACUGGAGUUCGGCAGGGAGACUGGAAUUCCUGGUGUAGCGGUGAAAUGCGUAGAUAUCGGAGGAAUACCGGUGGCGAAGGCGGCGAUCCUGGACCGGCAUUGACGCUGAUGAGCGAAGCUAGGGAGCAACGG